CUAAACUUGUCUCCGUCACAAUGGUUUGAAUCACUCGAACAACUUUGUAGAAGGCGGUAAAUUUCUAAAACUAACAGAUUUCGAGAUAUACAAUUUUACAGGUGAUUCCUUAUACACUAGCGCCGCCAAGCGGUUGAAUUUCAAACCAAAUUUGCAUCCAUUACUAUUCUAACAAGAUUGAAUAUUGAAUAAGUGGCUAUUCUGUCGAAUUAAUGUCAAUUUUGUCUUAAGCCAUCAGUUUUUCGAUUUGGAAGUUAUUAACUCAUGUUUGGGUUAAGCCAGACGAGCGUGUACAUGUUUGUUUACAUUAUUCGUAGUCGGAAGCAAAGUGCCACCUCGAUAAAAAAACAAAUUUCGCUCGAGAUUUCGUUGUUUUUCGGUGAAAACAGUCCGGGAUAAUAUGUUGUGUUGUGACCAGUGAUGUGAUGGAAUGUGGAUGCGAUGUUGGACCCGAAGAAGGGGCAGGAGAUUCGUCACGAAGAGGCACGGUCCGUGUCUGCAGCGCGUGGGGUGAAUUCAGCUACAGCUUAGGUCCACUUGCCUGCCUUUCAAAAGCAAAUUGUAACGUGGUAACUACUGGACUUGGACUGGAUGUUUGGCCAGGUCAUAUUUUUGUAAAACUGAACUAAACCACACACGGGAGCUCAUAAUUCAUCAACCCUAGGGUAACCGAUGGACAAUCUAACCAUUUCGAUUACAUACAUCAUGCCGGGAAGGUCUUGCAUAAGAAAACAACACUCCGCACAUUGAAUGACCAUCGUAGAAACCCACCUAAAAUAAAUUUUAAAAUCGGAAUCCUGAUUUACAAGACUACAGUGUCGACCCACCCAUCAAAC